CACAAGGCGCAGCCAUCUUGCCUCAACUCUUCUGUGUUCCAAGGAAGGAGGAAGUAGUCCGCGCUCGUGACGCACGGACGUAAAGAGCAUAAAAGGCGCAGGAACCUUCCAGUCCUUCCAUUUUCUUCUCCCAUCCAACCGAGGAUGCCGACGACUCGAAUGUGCUGCACUGAAAUGCAGGACAGAUGCCUGGAAGUCUAGAAGAAUGACCCGUCGCAAUUGUAAAUGAGAACUUGUUCUCAACUUGCCUACCUGGUUAAAUAAAGGUCUGCAUUACCUGUGACCUGACUUCCAGGCAUCUGAACAGAAUCUCCACUUGGAGUUCCAUUCUGGAAUAGGAAUGUGUGCUGAAUUCCAGACCAAGACUGAUGCGCGUUGUGAAAAUCCAGACGUGGGGAUGAAGUUUCCUGACGGGAUUAACACGACCUUCACUGGGUUUGGGUGUUGUGGUCAGUUGCAUUGCAGUGUGGACUCCAACAUACUGGUUCUUCUGUAUAUGGCUGAACAGGGAGCCGUGAUGCCAACUAGACGGGUCCUGAUGGUGGUACCAGACAAGUCACUAGAAGAUGCCGGAUACUGAACUACCUCAAGGUCCUGACUGUUGUACCAGACUGGCCACUAGCAGGAAGCUCUUUGCUGUGACAGUGAAUGAAGUUGAUGUCCUUGUGGGUCUGCAGUCUUCAGGAAGGGAUCUGUUCCUUCCAUGUCCUGACUGUUCCAGCUUGGCCACUGGAGGACUGUUGCUGCACGACCUCAAGGUUUCUGCCCCUCUGGUUGAGGUCCUGGUGUCUGCAGGGUUUGGAAAGAUCUGGUUGGCUGCUGAAGUGUUGCUGUGCUGGUGGAGUGGGAAGCUCUCCUGUUUUACACCUGCAAGCCCUCUUUCACUCCUGAUUGGUCAGCAAGGAAGUGGGGGAAACCAGGCCAAGUCAAUUCAACCCUGUGACUGUGUUUUGAUGUAUAAAUAAAUCUACAUAUUAAUGCUU